GACGAACCGAGCGAACGUUGUUCGGAAUCACUGGGCUUAAAGGGCGCGUAGGCGGGUUCAUAAGUCUGUGGUGAAAUCCUCCGGCUCAACCGGAGAACUGCCUCGGAUACUGUGGGCCUCGAGGGUGAUAGGGGUAUGCGGAACUAUCGGUGGAGCGGUGAAAUGCGUUGAUAUCGAUAGGAACUCCGGUGGCGAAGGCGGCAUACUGGAUCACUUCUGACGCUGAGGCGCGAAAGCCAGGGGAGCAAACGGG
rnacentral:rRNA from 1 species